UUUCAAAUUAUAUCAAGAAUGAGUUAUUGUUUUGAUGGUUAAACAUUAGUGAAUUUAUCUUUAAGGUCCUACCUUCAAUUUCCUUCCCAGCAAAUAAUUUAACUUUUUGACGAAAAACCCUUAUUUUAAUGUGUUGGCCAUCCAAGCCUAGUUAACCUAGGUAUAAAUAUCAUUUUUUUACUAAUAAUCAGCCUUUAAUCCUCCUCCUCACUGCCCUAGCCGUUCCUCUCCUCCUCUCCUUCUAUUUGAUUUUAUUUUUUUUCCUUUCCUCCAUUGUUGUCGUCGCCU
rnacentral:lncRNA from 1 species